AACGAACGCUGGCGGCAGGCCUAACACAUGCAAGUCGAACGCCCUAGUAAUAGGGAGUGGCAGACGGGUGAGUAACACGUGGGAACCUUCCCUAUAGUACGGAAUAGCCCAGGGAAACUUGGAGUAAUACCGUAUAAGCCCGAGAGGGGAAAGAUUUAUCGCUAUAGGAUGGGCCCGCGUAGGAUUAGCUAGUUGGUGAGGUAACGGCUCACCAAGGCAACGAUCCUUAGCUGGUUUGAGAGAAUGACCAGCCACACUGGGACUGAGACACGGCCCAGACUCUUACGGGAGGCAGCAGUGGGGAAUCUUGGACAAUGGGCGCAAGCCUGAUUCAGCCAUGCCGCGUGAGUGAUGAAGGCCUUAGGGUUGUAAAGCUCUUUUGCCGGGGACGAUAAUGACGGUACCCGGAGAAUAAGUCCCGGCUAACUUCGUGCCAGCAGCCGCGGUAAUGUCACAUG
rnacentral:rRNA from 1 species